rnacentral:rRNA from 1 species
CCUACGGGUGACAGCAGUGAGGAAUAUUGGUCAAUGGACGAGAGACUGAACCAGCCAAGUGGCGUGAAGGAUGACUGCCCUAUGGGUUGUAAACUUCUUUUAUAAAGGAAUAAAACGCGGCACGUGUGCCUUUUUGCAUGUACUUUAUGAAUAAGGAUCGGCUAACUCCGUGCCAGCAGCCGCGGUAAUACGGAGGAUCCGAGCGUUAUCCGGAUUCAUUGGGUUUAAAGGGAGCGUAGAUGGGUUGUUAAGUCAGUUGUGAAAGUUUGCGGCUCAACCGUAAAAUUGCAAUUGAUACUGGCAGUCUAGAGUACAGUUGAGGUAGGCGGAAUGUGUGGUGUAGCGGUGAAAUGCUUAGAUAUCACGAAGAACCCCGAUUGCGAAGGCAGCUUACUAAACUGUGACUGACAUUGAUGCUCGAAAGUGUGGGUAUCAAACAGGAUUAGAUACCCGAGUAGUC